UGUCGGGAGACAGCAGCAACAGUCACAGACCGUCCCAGACACAGUCUCUCUGUCUCUCUCUCUCUCUCUCUGUCUCUCUCUCUGUCUCUCUCUCUGUCUCUCUGUCUCUCUCUCUGUCUCUCUCUCUGUCUCUCUGUCUCUCUCUCUGUGUCUCUCUGUCUCCCAGUGGACUGCGCAGUAAGGAUACUGCCAGUGUGUGUGUGUCGGGCCGGAAGGUCCAGGUGAUCCAGGUCUACACAGUGUGUGUACGAUGCUGCGAGUGUUUAUCCUGUGUGCUGAGAGGCUUCAUACAGAAGAUGAUGACAUCAGUGAUGCCUACUGCCGAGUGGUCUAUGAAGGAGCGAAAAAGAAGACAAAAGUCAUCAAGAAUAACAUCAACCCUGUCUGGAAUGAGGGUUUUGAGUGGGACCUGAAGGGAAUACCUCUGGAUUCAGGAGCUGAGCUUCAUUUGGUGGUCAAGGACCAUGAGAAGAUGGGGAGGAACAGGUUCCUGGGGGAGAGUAGAGUGGCUCUCAGGGAUAUCCUCAACUCUCCUAACCUGGCUGCUAGCUUCACUGUGUCCCUACUGGAUACCAAGAGGAACAAUACUGGGGCCACACUGAGCCUGCAGGUUUCCUACAUCCCUCCCCCAGGAAUGACUCCUUUCUUCCAGCCUCCGCCUCAACCAGAGGCCCGAGAGAAACCUGUGGAGCUGGACACAGUCACAGUCUUCUCGUUGGACACCAUGGGUGAGGAGGACACAGAAAGCAUGUUGAUGAUGGAGCAGACAGAUGACCCAGACACAGGGAGUCACCAGGGGCCCCAUCAGGGAGGCCAGGACGGCCAAGAGACCCCCACAGCCCAGACCCCUAAACGGGCCCCCCCUAACUACACCCCUGGAGUGAAGAGGAAGAAGAGACAACAGAGCAGCAAGACACCGCUCCCCAACAAACCACAGGACCUGCAGGUGCGCGUUCGGGUCAUCGAAGGCCGACAGUUGCCGGGGAUCAACAUCAAACCGGUCGUCAAGGUUACUGUUGGCGGACAGACCAAGAGGACUCGCAUCAGGAAAGGAAACAACCCAGUGUUUGAUGAGACUUUCUUUCUGAACUUCUACGAGACUCCGUCAGACCUCUUCGAUGAGCCCAUCUUCAUUACUGUUUUUGACUCCAAGUCACUGCGAACUGACUCAGUGAUAGGUGAAUUCAAGCUUGAUGUUGGCACAGUCUACAACGAGAGCAGACACGCCUUCUUGAGGAAGUGGCUCCUCCUCUCUGAACCUGACGACCUCUCGGCCGGGGCCAAAGGUUACCUGAAGGUCAGCCUCUUCGUAUUGGCUGCAGGCGACGAAGCUCCACUGGAUAAGAAGGAAGGAGUUGUGGAUAAGGAAGACAUAGAGGGGAACCUGUUGCGUCCUGCUGGACUCACACUCAGAGGAGCCAUCUUCACACUCAAAGUGUUCAGAGCUGAGGAUCUGCCUCAGAUGGACGAUGCCUUUAUAGAUGGAAUGAGACAGGUCCUAGGAUUCGACAGCAACAGGAAGAACCUGGUCGACCCCUUAGUUGAAGUCAACUUCGCUGGAAAAACGGUGUGCAGUAAGAUCAUGGAGAAGAAUGCCAACCCUCAGUGGAACCAAAGCCUGGCCAUGCCCAUACGGUUCCCCUCUAUGUGUGAGAAGAUGAGGGUUCGGGUCCUGGACUGGGACCGAGCCAGCCACAACGAUGUCAUCGGGACCGCCCAUCUCUGCAUGUCUAAGAUCUCCGCCCCGGGAGGAGCGGUAGAGGGUGAGACACUGGUCUAUACAGAUGAAUUUGUCCCAAGGAACCUCCAAAGUUUCAUGGAUGACAGUCUGGGUUUCCUUCCGACCUUCGGCCCCUGCUACGUCAACCUGUACGGAAGCCCCAGGGAGUUCACCUCCUUCAACGACCCCCACGAGGCUCUCAACUUGGGCAAGGGUGAGGGAGUAGCGUAUCGUGGUCGUGUUCUGAUGGAGCUCAGUACCAAACUGGUGGACAUGGUGCAGGCGAGUGUAGAGGACAUACCCAACGAUGACUUACUGGUCGUACAGAAAUUCAUGCGUAAGAGAAAGUAUUCUCUCUUUGCGUCGUUCUACUCUGCCACGCUCCUCCAAGACGUUGACGACGUGAUACAGUUCGAGGUCAGCAUCGGUAACUACGGCAACAAGUUUGACAAUACCUGUCUUCCUCUGGCCUCAACGACGCAGUUCAGCAGAGCUGUGUUCGAUGGCUGCCACUACUACUACCUGCCAUGGGGUAACGUGAAACCAGUGGUGGUCCUGUCUUCAGAGUGGGAGGACAUCAGACCACGAAUAGAAGCACUCAACAUGAUACUAGCUAUGGUCGACCGCCUGGAAUCUAACCUAAAGGAAGUCCAGUUGGAGCUGAAGUCAGGAAGUGAACUGGAGGAGGUGGAGCUAAAAGUGGUCAACCUAUUGGAUCAGGUCAUCGCUGAUUGCAGGGAGGAGCUCCCAUGGUUAGACGGCUGGUCAUGUGUAACUCCGUUAGACCGUGCCCUCAGACACCUGAGACUGAAUCACCUACAACAGAUAGAGGAGGCUGCCACAGCUCUGAAACAUGGACCUGCUACUGACCUGUCUACAGUACUGGACCAAGCAGAAGACUGGGCACUCAGGCUACGCACCAUGGCUGAGGAGCCCCAGAACAGUCUGCCAGACAUAGUGAUCUGGAUGCUACAGGGAGAUCGUAGAGUGGCCUACCACCGUAUCCCUGCACACACUGUCCUCUUCUCACAGCAACACUGUGGCAAGCACUGUGGAGAGCUACAGACUGUCUUUCUGAAGUAUCCCCAGGGUGGAUCAGGAGAUAGGAAGCUUCCGGCCCAGAUCAGAGUGAAGGUCUGGUUCGGUAUGGCUGCAGACGUAAAACACUUCAAUCGAUUUGCUGAAGGCAAACUGUCUGUGUUCGCUGAGACGUAUGAGAACCAGACCAAGCUGGCUCUGGUGGGUAGCUGGGGGACCACGGGACUGACCUACCCCAGGUUCAGUGACGUUACAGGCAGGGUGAAGUUACCCAAGGAGUCCUUCAAACCCUCACCGGGCUGGAGCUGGGCUGGGGAGUGGGUCAUCAGCCCUGAGAAGACGUUGCUGUAUGAUACAGACGCAGGUCACAUGUCCUUUACAGAAGAGGUGUUUGAGAACCAGAUGAGGUUGCCAGGGGGACAGUGGAUCGGCAUGCCAGAAGGAUACACAGACGUGAACGGGGAGAAGGCGGUGCCUAAGGAUGAGGUGGAGUGUCCCCCAGGGUGGGUGUGGUCUGAUGAAGAGUGGAGUGAAGACCUGAACCGGGCUGUGGACGACCAAGGGUGGGAGUAUGGCCUGACUAUUCCCCCAGAUCGGAGGCCCAAGGCCUGGGUACCGGCUGAGAAGAUGUACCAUACCAUCCGCCGUCGCCGCUGGAUACGCCUCAGACGCAGAGAUAUGCAGAAGAUGGAGGCCCUGAAGAAGCAGCGGCCAGACGAAGCAGAGAGAGAGGGAUGGGAGUAUGCGUCUCUGUUUGGGUGGAGGUUUCAUCUUAAACCCCGGAAGACAGAUUCAUUCAGGAGGAGGAGAUGGAGACGUCGCAUGGAGCCACUGGAGAAGACUGGACCUGCUGCUAUCUUCGCCCUGGAGUGUUCACUGGGGAGUGUGAUGGAGGAUAAGAGUGAUGAGAAAUCUGUGACGGCGACCUUUGGGGUCAACCGUCCUACCAUAUCCUGCCUCUUCCACAGUGGGACUCGCUACCACCUGCGCUGUUACCUGUACCAAGCCAGAGAGCUGCUGGCCAUGGAUAAAGACAGCUUCUCAGAUUCCUAUGCCAUAGUGUCGUUCCUCCACCAGAGCCAGAAGACAGUGACAGUCCGUAACACGUUGAACCCCACCUGGGACCAGACACUCAUCUUCUACGAGGUGGAGGUGUUCGGAGACCCUGAUGUCACAGAGAGAAACCCUCCUAACAUAGUGGUGGAGCUGUACGAUCAGGAUACAUACGGGGCAGAUGAGUUUAUGGGUCGCUGUGUGUGUCAGCCCUCCAUGACCCCCUCCCCUCGUCUGGCCUGGUAUCCAAUCAGGAUGGGAGAGAGGAGCGCAGGAGAACUUCUGGCUGCCUUUGAACUCAUACGACGAGAGAAGCCCUCUGUUCAUCACAUCCUUGGACAGGAGGGAGACAUCCCCCCUCACAAUAUUGAAGAGGCCUUUCUCACUGGAUUCCUCUCAGAAAACCAGCAAUGGCCCAAGGAUUCCGACCUGCCCUACCCGCCCCCCCAGAGAGAACCCAACAUCUACAUGGUUCCUCAGGGGAUCAAACCUGUUCUACAACGUACUGCUAUAGAGAUCUUGGCGUGGGGAGUGCGUAACCUAAAGAGCUUCCAGCUAGCUAGCGUUACUUCUCCCAGCCUGCAGGUGGAGUGUGGAGGCAGCAUGGUUCAGUCCUGCGUCAUACGAUCCACAAAGAAGAAACCCAACUUUGACAUCAACACACUCUUCAUAGAUGUGAGACUGCCCUGUGAGGAGCUCUAUAUGCCUCCUAUCAUUCUGAAGAUCAUAGACAACAGACAGUUUGGGAGGAAACCAGUGGUGGGACAGUGUACCAUCAGGACCCUGGAGGACUAUCGCUGUACCCCUGAGGAAGAGGGGGAGGAAGGAGAGGAGGAGCUUGAUGAGAUUGUCCAGACGCCUCGUGACGAUGUUCUGAUCGACAUCGAUGACAAGGAACCCCUCAUCCCCUCACAGUUUACAGACGGAACCAGUUCUGCAAUUAUUAACAUCUCUCGCUCUUCCAGUCAACAUCUCUUACAGUGGGAGGAGGAAGUGAUGGACUGGUGGAGUAAGUUCUAUGCUUCGACCGGAGAGAGGAACAAGUGUGGAAACUACCUGGAGAAGGGAUGUGACACACUACAGGUGUAUGACAGGCCACUGGAAAAGAUUGAGGGAUUUGAGAAGCUGUCAGACUUCUGCCAGACCUUCAAGCUGUACCGUGGGAAGAACCAAGAUGAAGGAGAGGACCCUUCUAUAGUCGGAGAGUUCAAGGGUAUGUUCAAGAUCUACCCUCUCCCAGAUGACCCCUCGACCCCUUCGCCUCCCCGACAGUUCCGUCAACUACCCCCCAACGGCAUGGAACAGUGUCUGGUCAGAGUCUACAUCAUACAAGCCACCGGUCUACAACCUAAAGACGCCAACGGAAAGUGUGAUCCGUAUGUGAAAAUCACUCUGGGCAACAAGUCCAUCAACGACCAUGACAACUACCUACCCUGUACCCUGGACCCUGUGUUUGGAAAGUUGUUUGAGCUGUCCUGCUCCCUGCCCAUAGAGAAAGACCUGAGGAUCCAGCUGUAUGAUUAUGACAUGUUGACUAAAGACGAGAAGGUCGGAGAGACGGUUAUUGAUCUGGAGAACAGAUUCCUGUCCCGCUACGGAGCGUGCUGCGGCCUUCCCCAGUCCUACUGCCUGUCUGGCGUGAACCAGUGGAGAGACCAGUUGAAGCCGUCUCAGCUGCUGGUCAGACUGUGUGAGAGGAGGCAAUACAAGAGACCAGUCUACAAACAGGACAGAGUCUUCUUCAGGGGACACGAAUACACUGCUGCUGACCUGGACGAUGCAAAGCCCCCCAACCCUCAUCUGGGACCCUUAGCGGAACGUUUGUCCCUUCUGAUCCUGCGUAGACAGGGCCUGGUGCCUGAACACGUAGAAACACGGCCCCUCUUUAGUCCUCUGCAGCCUGACAUAGAACAGGGGAGACUGCAGCUGUGGGUGGAUGUCUUCCCCAAGUCCCUGGGUCCUCCUGGGCCUCCCUUCAACAUUACACCACGCAAGGCCAAGAAGUUCUACCUGCGUUGCAUCAUAUGGAACACCAGUGAUGUCAUCCUGGAUGAUGUCAGCCUGACCGGGGAGAAGAUGAGUGACAUCUACAUCAAGGGGUGGCUCCACGGCCAUGAGGACAACAAACAGAAGACAGACGUCCACUAUCGCUCUUUAGGAGGAGAGGGUAACUUCAACUGGAGGUUCCUGUUCCCCUUCCACUACCUCCCAGCUGAACAACUCUGUACCAUCGAUAGGAAGGAACACUUCUGGAGUCUGGAUAAGAACGAGACGAAAGUUCCUCCUAAAAUCACCAUCCAGAUUUGGGACAACGACAAGUUCUCUUUCGACGACUACCUCGGUUGUCUAGAGAUGGAUCUUCAUCACAUGCAGCGACCAGCUAAAUCACCAGAGAAGUGCACCUUGGAAAUACUGUCACAGGGACAGGAGAAACUGGUGUCGCUGUUCCAGCAGAAGACGGUCAAGGGGUGGUGGCCGUGUGUGUGUGACAGCAACGGGGAAAAGAUCAUCGCUGGUAAAGUAGAGAUGUCUCUAGAGAUUGUUUCAGAGCAGGAGCAGGAUGAGAGACCGGCAGGACAGGGCAGAGAUGAACCCAACAUGAACCCUCACCUGGAGGAACCACAACGUCCAGAGACAUCGUUCCUGUGGUUCUCCUCUCCCUACAAGACGUUGAAGUACAUCCUGUGGGGGAGAUACAAAUUCCUCAUCCUCCUCUUCAUCCUCCUCUUCUUCGUCUUCCUCUUCAUCGGAGUCUUCCUCUACUCCUUCCCUAACUAUGCAGCCAUGAAGAUGGUGGGGCCGUUUAGUGGACCAGCCAAAGGAACUAAAUGAACAACUAGAUAAAAUAUAGAACAACGAGAGGAGAGGACGAGAGGAAAAACAGAGGAAGAGAAAGACACACAGUGAAAAUAACAACUGACUGAACAACAGAAAGAGAGAGAAGAGAGGAAAAGAGGGGUGACAGGUAGCCUAGCAGUUGAGUGUUAACAGCCACUGAAAGGAUGCUGGUUCGAAUCCCCGAGCCGACUAGGUGAAAAAUCCUAAUUGCUCCUGUAAGUGGCUCUGGAUAAGAGCAUCUGCUAAGUGACUAACAUGUAAAAUGUAAAUUUGAGAGAGGGUAGGGAAGUGAGGGAGGAAGAUCAACAAAUGACUUUUCCCACAUCUCGUCUGAUCUUGAAAAUCUCCCGCUACGUAGCCUGGUAGCUAGAUAGAACGACGCUGACACCCUGUUCUCUUCAUGGCAUCACGGCAACACUUUCCCAUCAAUCAUCUCUGCUGGACGCUCCUAUCUUUUUUUUUCCUUCAUGCGGAGAGUGGGAUAGAUCUGCCUCCCUCCUCUCUUUCAACCUUCCCUUGUUCCCUGUGCUGGGUUAAGUCAUGGAUUUGUUCAUCGUGCUCAGAGGCUGGUGAUUAUCAGAUGUCAUACUGUGUGUGGGACACACUCUCUCUCUCUCUGUCUCUCUCUCUCUCUGUCUCUUUCUCUCUCUCUCUCUCUCUCUCUCUCUCUCUCUC